rnacentral:rRNA from 1 species
ACGCUGGCGGCAGGCCUAACACAUGCAAGUCGAGCGGUAGAGAGAAGCUUGCUUCUCUUGAGAGCGGCGGACGGGUGAGUAAUGCCUAGGAAUCUGCCUGGUAGUGGGGGAUAACGUUCGGAAACGGACGCUAAUACCGCAUACGUCCUACGGGAGAAAGCAGGGGACCUUCGGGCCCUUGCGCUAUCAGAUGAGCCUAGGUCGGAUUAGCUAGUUGGUGGGGUAAUGGCUCACCAAGGCGACGAUCCGUAACUGGUCUGAGAGGAUGAUCAGUCACACUGGAACUGAGACACGGUCCAGACUCCUACGGGAGGCAGCAGUGGGGAAUAUUGGACAAUGGGCGAAAGCCUGAUCCAGCCAUGCCGCGUGUGUGAAGAAGGUCUUCGGAUUGUAAAGCACUUUAAGUUGGGAGGAAGGGUUGUAGAUUAAUACUCUGCAAUUUUGACGUUACCGACAGAAUAAGCACCGGCUAACUCUGUGCCAGCAGCCGCGGUAAUACAGAGGGUGCAAGCGUUAAUCGGAAUUACUGGGCGUAAAGCGCGCGUAGGUGGUUAGUUAAGUUGGAUGUGAAAUCCCCGGGCUCAACCUGGGAACUGCAUUCAAAACUGACUGACUAGAGUANGGUAGAGGNNGGUGGAAUUUCCUGUGUAGCGGUGAAAUGCGUAGAUAUAGGAAGGAACACCAGUGGCGAAGGCGACCACCUGGACUGAUACUGACACUGAGGUGCGAAAGCGUGGGGAGCAAAC